GAUGAACGCUGGCGGCGUGCUUAACACAUGCAAGUCGAACGGUGAACACGGAGCUUGCUCUGUGGGAUCAGUGGCGAACGGGUGAGUAACACGUGAGCAACCUGCCCCUGACUCUGGGAUAAGCGCUGGAAACGUCGUCUAAUACUGGAUAUGUGACGUGACCGCAUGGUCUGCGUUUGGAAAGAUUUUUCGGUUGGAGAUUGUCUCGCGGCCUAUCAGCUUGUUGGUUAGGUAAUGGCUCACCAAGGCGUCGACGGGUAGCCGGCCUGAGAGGGUGACCGGCCACAAUGGGACUGCGAGACGGAGCAGACUCCUACCGGAGGCAGCAGUGGGGAACCUUACACAGCGGCGGCAAGCCUGAUGCAGAGGUGUCGCGUGCGGAAUGCCGUCUUUCGGGUUGUAAACCUAUUUUUGCGGAGCAGAAGCGAUAGUGACGGUACCUGCAGAAAAAGCGACGGCUAACUACGUG
rnacentral:rRNA from 1 species